CCAUAAACCUGAUUGACGGGGAAAGCGCCCGAUUCUUUAUUGGGCAUUGUACCAAAAGCAGGGCUGCUG
rnacentral:sRNA from 1 species